GAAAUCACUCGCAUUUUCCCCUCUUUCUAGAAAUCGCUCGCGUUCUCUUCCUCACAGAACCUCUCACUUGCAGUCUCCCACCGUCAAAAUCGCGUUUCUCCCUCUUCCUCCCACAACAACUCACAGAACCCUUCCUCUUCCAUUUUCCCCUCUCUUGAAAUCACUCGCAUUUUUUUUCCUCUUCCUCACACAACCUCUCAUUUGCACUCUCCCACUGUCAAAAUCGCGUUUCUCCCUCUUCCUCCCAUAACUCAGAACCCUUCCACUUCAACUCUCACACCGGCAUUUCGUUAGUGUGGCUAUCACUCACUGUCGUCGUCGUUCACUAUCGGCGGUGACUCUUCAGUUUUCCAGGGUUUAGGAAUGGCUAUGGGAAUGGUUAAAUGGAAAGCACAUCUAUAGUCAACAUGAACCUAUGCCUAAAAAGGUUCUUGACUUGAUGAAUGUUGAAAAGCUUACAUGGGGGAAUGUGGCCCACCACGUUCAGGCAUUGAUGAUAUUGUUCUAUUCAUAGAGCAUACGAUAAGGCUGCUAUCAUGGAGUAAAUGCUGAUAUAAACUUUAGUUUGGGAGAUUAUGAGGAGGAUUUGAAGCAGAUGAGAAUUUUUACAAAGGAAGAGUUUGUGCUUGUUCUUCAUCGACAAAUCAGUGAAAUAUUGAGGAGAAACGCAACUCACAUAAGUGCUUUAGCUCUUCACAAAGGUGGUCAAGGAGAACAAAGUAUAAGACCAUUUAUUAGCAAGACGUGGAAAUGCUGAGAAGGACCAUGCUUGUUAGGAGAGAUUUAAGGACAUUGACUUCCGAAGAAGUGUUUUUAAAGUAGACAGAAACAACCCAGUUUAGAUGUGGCUACAAAAACUGCUACGACACUUGCAAUUGUGCCUUCAUAGUAAUAGGUUCUAUAUUCUGGUUUUACAAGAAGACGUUGCCCCUCCUAUUGUCAAUCAUAGUUAUUCACUCAUUUUAUUGAAAGUUGAAACUAAUGACAAUAACCUUAUAUAAUAUUAUAUUGUAUUUAUAAGUU